ACGGUCCUAAGGUAGCGAAAUUCCUUGUCGGGUAAGUUCCGACCCGCACGAAAGGCGUAACGAUUUGGGCCCUGUCCCAACAACAGACUCGGUGAAAUUGUAAUUUCGGUGAAGAUGCCGGAUACAUUCGACAGGACGGAAAGACCCCAUGGAGCUUUACUGUAGCUUGACAUUGGGACUUGGUACUACAUGUACAGGAUAGGU
rnacentral:rRNA from 1 species